CCCCUAAUUCUACUGUCGGACACCUGUCCAUUUUUUCCGCUCAAGUGGGCAUCUUUGUACCCCUAAUUCUACUUCGGACACUUGUCCAUUUUUACCUCUCGUCUCACUUUUUUUCCUUCUUUAUCGAGGUUCCGGGCACUAGCCCCUCUUUAUUUCAUCGCAUAUUUUUGCAUAACCCAUGCCUCUUCUGCAUUGAAUCUUUUUAGAGAGAAUAACAAUAUUCGGGACAGUGAGUGAUAAUAUUUUUAGCAAUAUUAAUGAAUGAUGAUGAAUGGUGUAGU
rnacentral:lncRNA from 1 species